AGGCAUUCCUUACGUGAAUUGUGCCUAAGAAGGUUUCCCCCAGCAAAUGCUGCUUCUCCACUGAAGAAUGUUUCAGAUUGCCGUGGUCUGGCUCUGAUGACCAUAAUCGUAGUUAAUGCUUCAUGGGUCUUUGGGAAUUCACUUCAACAAACAGAAUGAAGAAUCAACGCUUCUGUAUUUACAAUCAAUUCCAGCCAUUUAUUCAGAGUGAUUGAUCUGUUAUUGGCAUCAAUGAUUAGUUUAAUGAUGAUAAAGAGACGAUUCUAUAACAUCUAAAAUCCACCACACACCUGCUCACCCUCUCAGCCAUUUUUAUUGUCCCAUUGAAACUAGAAGACAGGCAACACAGGGAGCUGUGAAACUCAAUCUUUUAAGAUCAAUCAGGCUGGUUGAGAUAAGACCGAUGUGGUCUGUGAAUUCAUACAAUUUUAAAAUUAACUCCCUCCCUCAGAACAAGCAAGCUUUGUGUCAGUUCCACAGUCCCCACUUCCCACACAAUGCCAUUAGCUCCUGGGAAUCAGUAAGCCAGGAAAUUGCCUCCACUGAUUCGGAAGAGAAAGGGUGGAAGAGCAGUGGGUAACAACGGCCAUACUUGUCAUUGAGAGGAACUAGAAGAGAGCCACAAAAUUUCAUCAAAGUUCACAGUGCCCUCGUUUGGUGGAUUUAAAGAUCACAAAUUUAUUGGAAGUGGGAGUAAGUCAAUCUGUUCUCUCUACUGUAAUUUGGAGCCCCAUUGCUCCUGUCUUCGUGGACACAAUGGGUUGCGUUGCCUGUAAUGGAUGGUUUAUUAGUCUCUCUUUUCAUGUUGUCAUAAACACUGAAUGGCACAAUCCGUAUCUAAUGGCUGUGCAAGGAACACUCUUUUUCUAACAGCAAUGUAACUAAUAUUAUUAAUAAAGAUUCAAUGCAUCACAAAAA